rnacentral:rRNA from 1 species
UACGUAGGGACCAAGCGUUGUUCGGAUUUACUGGGCGUAAAGGGUGCGUAGGCGGCGCGGUAAGUCGGGUGUGAAAUCUUGGAGCUUAACUCCGAAACUGCAUUCGAUACUGCCGUGCUCGAGGACUGGAGAGGAGACUGGAAUUUACGGUGUAGCGGUGAAAUGCGUAGAUAUCGUAAGGAAGACCAGUGGCGAAGGCGGGUCUCUGGACAGUUCCUGACGCUGAGGCACGAAGGUCAGGGGAGCAAACGGG